CCUACGGGGAGCAGCAGUGGGGAAUAUUGCACAAUGGGGGAAACCCUGAUGCAGCGACGCCGCGUGAGUGAAGAAGUAUUUCGGUAUGUAAAGCUCUAUCAGCAGGGAAGAAAAUGACGGUACCUGACCAAGAAGCCCCGGCUAACUACGUGCCAGCAGCCGCGGUAAUACGUAGGGGGCAAGCGUUAUCCGGAUUUACUGGGUGUAAAGGGAGCGUAGACGGUUGUGCAAGUCAGAAGUGAAAGCCCGGGGCUCAACUCCGGGACUGCUUUUGAAACUGUGAAACUGGAGUGCAGGAGAGGUAAGCGGAAUUCCUGGUGUAGCGGUGAAAUGCGUAGAUAUCAGGAGGAACACCAGUGGCGAAGGCGGCUUACUGGACUGUAACUGACGUUGAGGCUCGAAAGCGUGGGGAGCAAACAGGAUUAGAUACCCGAGUAGUC
rnacentral:rRNA from 1 species